ACAACAUUCGGGCCGUGGGUCUACUGAGCAAUAUCACCCGCUCGGUAGAAGAUCUUCCCUUUGACGA
rnacentral:pre_miRNA from 1 species